CCUACGGGGUGCUGCAGUGAGGAAUAUUGGUCAAUGGGCGCGAGCCUGAACCAGCCAAGUCGCGUGAGGGAUGACGGCCCUACGGGUUGUAAACCUCUUUUGCCGGGGAGCAACGGGCGCCACGUGUGGCGCCACUGAGAGUACCCGGAGAAAAAGCAUCGGCUAACUCCGGGGCAGAAGCCGCGGUAACACGGAGGAUUGGAGCGUUAUCCGGAUUUGUUGGGUUAAAAGGGUGGGUAGGCGGAUCGUUAAGUCAGUGGUAAAAUUGAGGGGCUCAACCCCUGCCCGCCAUUGAAACUGGCGCUCUUGAGUGGAAGAGAGGUAUGCGGAAUGCGUGGUGUAGCGGUGAAAUGCAUAGAUAUCACGAAGAACCCCGAUUGCGAAGGCAGCAUGCCGGCUUCCGACUGACGCUGAAGCACGAAAGCGUGGGGAUCGAACAGGAUUAGAUACCCUAGUAGUC
rnacentral:rRNA from 1 species